AAGAAGACCCAUGUGAAACGUGUGAAGUCAUCCACAAUAACCAGUAUGUAUUUUUUGUGAUGAAGACUGGCUACGGUAGAUGGAUCACAGAGAUCAAUGUGUAAGAGUUCCAAUGGCUCAGAUAUUGAGGAGUCAAUCACCGUGAGGUGACUUGCAUUGAAUUGCUUUCCACACUCACAUGCAGGACAGAGAGUAUCAUUAUUGAACUUGAGGAUUGGAAGACCUCUGACUAGUUCUCCGAUGACCAAAUUGUUGAUGUAUAUGAAGUUAAGAUGAGUAAGCUUACGGUGUCGUAGCCAGCUGACUUCGGAUACGGCUUUAGAUAGAAAGCAUAACUGUAGUUUGCCUAUGUUCAGAGAUACAUCCAGAGGGUACAUAGUACCUUCGGAUCUAGACUUGAUCAGACAAGUGCUCUUAUCGCUUGUCAUUACAUAGCAAAAUUGGUCAUCAAAUUCAACACGAUGGCCUGCUUUACAUAGUUGACCAACACUGAUGAGAUUGUGUUUAAGGUCUUCUACAUAAGCAACCUUUUGCAUAGAGAAGUUUCCCGUAGUGAGAACACUAUAACCUCGGAUUAUCCCAUUCGCAUUGUUCCCAAAUGUGACAUUUCCACCUUUGCAAAUUGGCCUAAAAUAUCGAAGGUAUUCCAACCUUCCCUUCAUGUGCAAGGAGUAGGCACUGUCAAUUAACCAUUAUUCUUCUUCUUCCUCCUUGCACAAGGCCUGAAAAUUACACGGUUAGUUUAGGCAUCCAAACUAGUUUGGAGCCUGGGACAAUAGAUGAGUUUCUGAUUAAUGCAUGAAAAGAGGUUGCAGGGACUGGUUUCGUGUCAACUUUCAAUCCUAGUCCUGGGUGUUUAUGAGUUUUUGGAGCGUUGUGCCUUUUUGAAAAGUUACAAGGUUUCUGAAAGGAUCAGUUUUGACAUGAGAUAACUUUUUCUGACAACUACAUUGACAUUGACAAGCUGACAUUUUGUAUUUUGUUUUGGCACUUUGUUUGGUCAGCGGUCGGAAGGAUGUGGUUGAUUUAUGACUGGUCUGAGGUUGGUAUGAUCUGACAUGUGUGCUGUUGGAUUUAGAAAAAGUUUGUCUCGAAGAAGAUUUUGCACGUGUAUAAACCUUGGACCUUUUCUUGGGAUUUGGUAAAAUGCCCUUCCACUUGUUGAAAUUUUGAUGUGAUUUUAAAAGUGUUGGAGUGGUUAAGAUACCCUUCCAUUUUGGAUCAUCUGAGGAAUAGAUUUGAAAACCAUUGUUUCGAAAAGACCUUUCUUUCUUUUGCGUUUUGUCAGAUGAGUGAGGAAUGGAUGUUGAAACUGCACAUUCCUUUUUGCAUGUUUUCUUGAUGGGAUAGUUUUUCGAAAAAUAGUGUGUAAAAACAAACUUUUAUGGACUCUUAGAUUUUGGAAAUCUGGUAUGUCUUUUAUUUUUAGAAAAGGUUUGUCGAUUUGUGCCUCAAGAUCGAAUAUCCUCUUUGAAAGCCUUUUUUGCUAAAGUUUUUGGAGAUCUGCAAUCAUUAGUGUUCAACUACGGUUUCCUGGAAGCCUUUGAAAAGUUUUGACAACGAGGGCUUGACUCAUCUGAACUUGAAGAUUCAGGGUUUUGAGAGCAUUGACCUACUUCAAAGUUCUCUAUGGGUAGUUCAUGGUGAAUUGGUUGAAGAGUCACAUAACUUUUGAUUGUAGACUUUGGUAAGGAAGACUUAGCUACCAUAGCGUAAGUCUGAGUUCUGAAUGGAGUGAGAUUUUUCUGAGAGUCGUGAUUGCAGUGAGAGGCACUGCGAUCUGAGGAUAAGGGUGGAAAGUCCUGUGAGACUUCGGGACUUUCUAUGACAAUCUCUUCAUCAACAACGGAUGAGGUCUGAUAAUUUGGGUUGAUUGUGCUACAUAUAGGAGGUUAAUCACAUGUGUGAUCCGAAACCUCAGGCGCAAUUUCCUCAAUGACACAAUUAUUACUUGGAUUAUGAAGUCUACCGAAGUGUGUUCUGAUAUCUUCAGGAAAAGUCUUGUCAUUGACUGGAAAAUGAAAUUCUCGGUCCGGAGGGACAUAGAGUCGAUCUUUUUUAAACCGGGGUGAGGAAUCCUCUGCGGUAGGAUAUCCAUUGGACUAAUCCCAAUUGUAUGUAUUGUCCACGGUUCCAUUAUAACCAAAUUUUCAAUAGCUUCACUUUCAUUGAACAAAUUUUCUAUUAAUAGAUUUAUGCGUACAAUCUCAGUUUGAGCUAAAUCUCUCUGGUUCAAAGCUAUCUCUAGUUGUGUUUCACUCAACAUUCUUGCACCUUUUUCUAACUGUAAAUCUCUUUCUAACAUGGCCAUUUUGAGUCUUUUGUUGUCCAGUCGUCCUCUCAUAUGAAACAUCUCUUAGGACGCUAUGUCAUUCUCAUAUAAGGCUAUGUUGUAGUCUGAAAGGACGGCAUCACAUGUGUCAUUAAGAUUGUCUAUGAAAGGUUGACAGUCAUGCAUGUUAUAGUUUAGAGUUUGGAUCAUGAGUUUUACAUGUUCGACGAUGCUUAGAGUUCCAUCCUUUGCCAUGUAGCAGUAGUUCCUUUCCAGCUUUGUAGACCCAUCAUCAUCAUCAGCAGUUGCUAGCAUGCAGAUCUUGCCUUUUACUUUGAUAUUGUUGAUGGUUUCUUCUUCAUCUCCGGAUGACCAAACUUCAUGGUCUCUUUUGACAUGAGCCACAUACGCCCUAUCCUUUUCCUUUUCCUCCAGUUCUUGAGCCAUUCUAAGGUAGAAUGCUCUGUCUUUCACCACGUUAGCUUUGCAAUCCUUUGCAAAAUGAUUCUCUUUGUUGCACUUGUGACAUAUUACACCAUCACUUUUGGCUUCUGAAGGAGUACCAGAGUCAGAGGUUUGAAUGGACUGCGGUGCCUCCUUUGGUUGAGUGUUUUGAGAUUGCGGUUGUCGGUAAGAGUUUUUAGGGUAAUGAGAGUGAUUGUUUUGUGGGUUGAAGUUACGUUUGAAAGGAGGUUUGUUGAAUUGUUGAUUCUUGCGAAAAGAGUGAGGUGGUAGCCGGUUGAACUGUUUACUAACAAGAGCAAUAGCCUUCUGAAAUUCUUCAUCAUCAUCAUACUCUGAGUCAGCUUCGUAUGACUGCGGUGAAGUGUCAUACGAGGGAGAGUAAGACUGGUUGAGAGGAGCUUGUGCUACAAGAGCAAGUGGUCCUCCGAAGUCAGUACAGUCUUUGAGUACGGUGGAUUCUUGUGCUUGCAAUUCCCCAUAUAGCUUGUAGAGAGACAGGGAACGAAUCUUUCUAUCUCCUUGAACUAUCAUCUUAGCAGUAGUCCAAUGUCUUCCCAAACCGUUGAGAAAUUUAAGGUUUGUUUCAUGGUUACUGCGGAUGGUGCCAGCAUUUGAUAACUUAGUAACUAUCAGCUUGAACCUUUUGAAAGAGUCUUCUAAACUUUCGCCAGCAUGAGCUUUGAAGUUGUUGAAUUUAUUGAGUGCAGUUGUGAGCUUCUUAUCUUGAGCUUGUUCUAAGCCUUCAUACAAGUUCUUAAGAACAUCCCGGAUCUCUUUUGCUGAUUUACAGUUUAUGAUAAUGUCGAGGUUGUCAGGAGCAACUCCACAAGAGAUUUCAUAAAAAGCAACACAUCAUUUUCCAUUUUAUCAAAGAUCAUCCUUGGUGGGAAGGUUCAUGACUGGUUGUCCUCCUCCUAGUCUGGCUGUGGCGCCAUCAGUUUGAACAGUUGUAAGAAUAGGGACAUGUGGCGCUUCUUCAACAUAUCACCAUACAUCUCUACCAAGUCACCUUAAGUAUCUUUCCAUUCUUUGAGACCAGUGAUGGUAUUCAUUUGCCACCAAUAUUGGAGCUCGAUUUAAACCACCAACACUUUUGGAAACAUUUAGAGAAAGUGCUUGUGCCAUUUUUCCUUGUUUUUUUUUUUGUUUUAAGAAAUGAGCUUCAGUGGUAUAGAAGGCCCUUUGAAAAUCAGAGUUCCGUUUUUCAAAGAGCAACCACUAUGGCUCUAAUAUCGAUUGUUGAGAGAAAAACUUGAGACACACUUGAACAAACGUUAGAACAAGUAUAGUUGCGGAAUUAGUUAAUCUCAAAGGAUCUAAAAUCUCAACAACAAUAAGUUAAUGAGUUAGAUAGUUAGAUAGUUAGUUGCGGAAAUGUAAGGAAGCAUAAAUGACAGCAAGUGAUAUAUCAAGUAAACACAUAAGUUGAUUCAUAACAAGGAUUGCAUUCAAACCAAGUUAGUGAGUGAGAUCAAUCUUAGUGAUAAAGUCACGAACGACUUGCUCCAAAGAGAAGUAUUUAACAGUUAUGUUCGAGAGGAUUUAGAGAGUAAGAAAGAUAUGAGAUGCGUAAGAGAAAAUACUUGAAGAUAAUUCAGAGUGAUAAAUGUGUUAAAGAGAGAUGUCUAUUUGAUUGAGAAAGAGUGAGCUCUAUUUAUAGAGACUUAAGAAUUACAUUUGAUUCACUCUCUAAGAGUAGCUAUGCAAGGCAUACUAGACAAUAGAGAGUAUUACAUAAAGAUAGAUAAAAAUAAACUAAGUCAAGUAAGAAGACUGCGGUUGACUAGAUGACAUCGGAUGAGGCUGCUGAUGGAAGCUUGACUACGGAUGCUUGUAGGCUGCGGAAGACUAAAUUAAGAGGUUCACUUCAUGUUUCAACAGGUAAUACACCAAGGUUUUCAUUCUAAUGGAACACACUUUCAAAAAACUAUAAUAGGUAUAGUUGUAACAUCCCAAAAAUACAGUCUAAAAAUUUUGUUUUAAUUUAAUAAUAAAACCAUAGUUAUCGAACAUCAUAUAAAAAUCAUAAGCAAUGAAUAUCAAAAUAUCGUAACAAUUGUCAAAAUAUCAGAGUAUAAACAUCCCAGCCUGAACAGAUGGUGUGUGCACUGCAAUCUUCCCGAGCUCCUCUUUUGAAAAAUGAGUACCUGAAAACAAAAAUGAAACUGUAAGCACGAAGCUUAGUAAGCUCCCCCAAACUACCACAUACCAUACAAUAACAUAUAAAGCAAAUAUUGGGCCUUGACCACUACAUCGGACCGAAGUCCGGAAUAACUAGGGCCACGCCCACUGCAUCAUACCGACGUCCAGAAUAACUAGGGCCUGCAUCAGACCGAAGUCCGAAAUAACUAGGGCCUUGCCCGCUGCAUCGGACCGAAGUCCGGACUAACUAGGGCCUCGCCCGCUGCAUUGGCCCGAAGUCCGGAAUAACUAGGGCCUUGCCCGCUGCAUCUAACCGAAGUCCGGAAUAAAAUGAACAUAUCAUAAACAUGAUCGUAAACAUAUAACAUAAUCACAUAUACAUGCAUGAAUCAUAAAGACAUCAAGCAUAAAAAACUACUUCUCGGGACUACCCCCGGCAUCGGACGACAGCCCGGAACUACUUUCAUCUAAACGCGCCGACAUUGUGGCCGUAGACCUGCUCCUACUGGAAGGAAACUCGCCUCUCACUGCUGAAGUCCCGCUGACAAAACCCUAGCUGCUAGAUGACAUAUUCCCGAAUCUGUCAAUUAUCAAAAUAACACCCAAUUAAUAAUUGGGUUCCAACUCAUAACCAUAAGUCCAUACAUGGGGUAAAAGACUACUUUACCCCUAUCUUAGCUUGACUCAAGCCCAAGGCCCAAUCCAAAGGCCCAAAAGUCUAGUAAUGGACCAAGGCCCAACUAUGGCCCAUAUAUGCCCAAUUUUCCCAAUUGGGCCCAAGUCCCUACAUGGUCUUGAUCAAAGGCUUAACCAUUUAGUCUAGUCCAACAUUUGACAUUCUAUUGGCCCAAUAUCAUAUAACCAUCAAGGCCCAAACUAUGGCCCGUCCAUGGCCCAAUUUUCCAAAUUAGGCCCAAUCCUUCAUAUGGGCCUUACCCUAAAGCCCAACUAAUUACUGUAGUCCAUUUAAUUAUUCUUCGAUGACCCAUUAAUAAACCAAUUACCAAAGCCGAAAGGAAAGGCCCAACUCCAGGCCCAAGUGAAAUUAGGGUUUCACAUAAAUUGACGAUGAGGGUCAAGUGUUUCUCACUCAACCCAUUAAGAUCUUAACCCACUUAGGACUUAAUCCAUUAAGCCCAAUAUUGCUUAGAUUAAUUUCUGCCAAUGAUUAUUAUCUAAUAUUUCAAGUUAUUAAAUAAUUCUUGUGUGUUUCCCGAUAAAUUCUCAAAAUUAGGGUUUUAUUGGCAUUAGGGAUUUCCAAACCCUAAUUAGGGUUUCCAACCCAAAUACUAGCCCAUUUAUCAAUUUGUUGGGCCUUUAGGUCAAUUAGGGCUUUAUUAGGCCUAUUAGGCCAACUAGGAUAUCAUUAAGCCCAUUAGUCACAUGCUUGGGCUUUUAGGUCCAUUAAGCUUCAUUGAGCCGAUUAAGGCUUAUCAAGCCCAUUAGGGUUUUAAUCCCUUGUCCAACAUUCCAAACGAACCACAACACAAACGAGGCACACCGCCGCCCGACAGGGCGACCGGUGGUGGCAGGAGGCGGCAGCCACCACCCUACGGUGGUGAUUUUGAGAUUUCUAUUAUUAUUGCGUCUUUUGUUACAAAUUACAACAAAAAUCCCAAAAAUAAACACACACACACUAAAAUACACCCACCCAUGGUGGUACAAGGCAGCAGCCACCACCUCACGGUGGUGGCGGUGGCUUUCUUUGAUUUUCCGGCCAAUGAACACUUCAUGCUACUCUUCAUCGGAAUAAACCCGCACACACCCAUAUGUACUCACAGCCACCCCACACACGGUGGUCGAAGGUGGCAGAAACAAAAUGGUGGCAGCCACCAUGGUGGCUCUCUUCAACAGCCGGCCAGCCAACAAAAUGCACAAUACAAGAGGGCAAUAACAAUUUACACUCACAUACACGCAAAGCAUGAGCACCCACCCCGCAGUAACACUUAAGACCCGAAGGAGGAAGACGGGGACGGAUAAGCUAGGUUCAGCGGCUACGAUCGGCGUUGUCAGUGGCAGAUAAAGCUGGAAAUGAAACAGAAGAGGGAGAAGAGAGGGAGCGUUCGAGAGGGACAGCGUUUCUGGUGGUUCCAUGAUUCCCACAUGACAACAGCACCUUCACGAUGCUCCUUUGACCGGCCAUGGUAGUUUUGCGAUGUUCGGGGGUUGGCUUCAACGACUUCUUGUCUUCACGGUGGCGGAGGAAGGAUGACCUCGGUUGGGGAAUAACCUGCUUGCCGGACUCAUCUAAUCGGAACCGCAAGGUAGGGUGGCGUCUGGAGGUGAAGAAGGGGGGAGGCAUAAGGAGAUGACGGCUGGAAGGGUUUGCUAGGGUUAGGGUUACAGAUCCUUAUAUACUCGAUCCCAUUAUAAGAGUUUUCCAUAAUGACCAGAAUGGUCCCCCCAGCUCUAAUUAAUUUCGAAAUAUAUCCAUAUUUUACACUUUUAACACUGCCUUCAGAAAUCUUUACAAAUCGAAUCCAAAACUUACCUUUUAAGCCUUGAUCCCAUAAAUUUCUUUCAUAAUAGAUCCCUAAAUUACCAAUAAACCCUUAAGCCUUCAAAUCUUUUCAAUUUAAGUCGAUAAAUUACCAAACGCACCCUGGCCUCCAAAAUCCCUUUCAAUUUAAUCCCGAACUUACACUUUUAACCCCUGACUUUUAAAAUUCUUCACAAAUUAGUCUGGGGCUUACAUUUACUAAUUUAUUUAAAUAAACGGGGCGUUACAACUCUCCCCCACUUAAAUUAGAUUUCAUCAUAGAAAUCAUUUCUUACCAUUCCUUAUACACCCAACCACUAUAGUGAUAUGGUCACCAUCCUGGGCACACACUAGCCUCCUCAGGGUAGCCAUGACCAAUCUUUGCAAAGACUUAAAUUCCAUUGGAGAACGGAUUCCUCACAACAGUCCAUAUCUACUCUGGCUGAUAUCUGCUGUCUUGAGAUGGUCUGAUUCCCUGACAGACCACUCAUACUAAAUCAUUAUAAAUGAACCCUGAGGUGGGUGACUAAGCAUUACUCAUUAAUCUGUUAUGCUUAUCCUACAUGAGAUCCUCAAAUACCAUUACUGCUGGAGAUCCAAAACUGUCUGAAACAUUGAUCUGCCUGAAAAUACUAAACUGCCUGAAACACUGAACUGCCUAAAACACUGAACUGCCUGAAACACUAAACUGCCUGAAACUGUAUGCUGCCACAUGGUUGCUUUCCAACAUCUACCAAGACCUACUUGGUCUCAAUUUUUUGCCAAUCAUCUGAAAUAUCGGGUUCCGGCCCGGGUGCGAAGCCAAAUGGCUCCCGCUUAGUCUCCUCACACAACUUCCGAAUGAAAUCCUUCUCUGGAACUAGUUGCCACUAGUUAUCAUGCCACUGAGGCUCUAAUAACUUUCUGAUCUAACUGAUCGAGUCCAUACGUCGAAUGCUGACGUCACCAAACCCAAGGUUAAAAGUGAUUGCCACAUGACCAUUGGUAGCCUUAUGUCAUGAAUGACCUUAUGCAGUCCACUACUUCCUUGCUCUCAUAGAUGUAGUGGCGCUUCUACAGUCUCAUCACUGGCUUAACUAGGUCUAAUCUAUCUGGGUAAUUCCGAAAUCCAAUUCGUGGAUUUCCAUAUCCUCACUGCUACACCCGAACUGGUGGGUACUACUGUUCUUUCCGCAUCCUAACAACGCACUCACGCCAUCUACCAACCUAGUCAAUGCUACGGCUACACCCUAAGACUUACAACACUCUAUCACUCUCUGGCUGCUAGUGAAUAUUACGGCUACUCUCGUAGACUUACAACACUCUAAUACUAUAUGGCUGCUAGUGAAUGCUACAGCUACACCCGCAGACUUAUAACACUCUAACACUAUCUGGCUACUAGUGAAUGCUAUGGCUACACCCGCAAACUUAUAACACUCUCCAUACUGCAUUGAACAUGCGCUUGACCCGUACUCAACUAAACUCAUGUCCAUAAUGGAAUACCCAACCUGAUUCCCUAAUGUGACGUCCUCAAAAUCACGGCCAGAAAAGACCGGUUUGUUUAUGCUUUGUUUAAAAAUCAGAGUUACAUUUUAAAUGAAAGUGUUGCGGAAUUUGUCCCAAAACAAAAUAUGAUAAGGAUUUAUCAAAAGCAUUUCCAUAGAAAUGUAUUUCAUUAAAAGACUUGGGAUGUCAUGUUCGUACAGAUCAAAAGCAUAAACAGUACAAUAUAAGCCUUACUACAUUAUUUCAUAUCUACAGGCCUAUAUCCGUAAUCCCUCGUCCAAAACAUCACACCUAUGCUCAUGCGCCACUACCUGUAAUACAUAAAACUGAGUGGGUCAGGCUUGGGAGCCUGGUGAGCACAUAGGGUUUUCAACCCACAAUAAAUAAGUUUAUUAAUUUCAUCGAUCAACAAUAACCCGAUUACCCGUUCCCGUUAUCCUCACUUUACGUCCCUAAACACCUAUCAUAAGGGACCUAGCCUAAGGAUCAUCAUCGGGACGGACACUACUGCUAAGGGGAUUCCUCAGCAAUAAAUGUCCUAAAGGCAACCAUGUGGGGGAUGGAGUACACCGGUGAACAUAUCGUUCACAAACACCUACAGGUUGCGAGCCUGCUAGUGUUCCACUGGACUGUCUAGAAGAGUCCGUGGUCGUCAUCCAUACUCCGCUAGAUGACAGAAUCAACAACAUCAACAUCGAGGCCUCUCAUCAUUUUAUCACACAUCACCUAUUGCAUCUACCCAUGUUUUACCCCAACAUUUUCGUAGAUAUAAAAUACAUAUACAGUUUAAAUCAUUGAAAACAUGUAUAACAACGUUCAUCUAGCAUAGAUAGCAAGUAUUCAGAUAAUAUGCACACAUAGCACGUAAUUUAUAUAAAAUACUUCAUAUCUAUGUGUAAGUUGAAAGUAACUAUGCACUCACUUGUUAAGGUGAUGAUUCCAAAAUCGGGCAGCGCUUGCUUCUAACGAUUCUAUUUUCCUUCGACGAAACCUAGCAUUAUUAUCGCUAAAUUUUAGUCUAAUAUUUACCGUGACCAACUAUUAGUCUUAGUAUUAUUAUUAUUAUAUAAGCGUUAAACAAUAUUUUCCAACCACUAUGUACAGACAGGGGCCAGACAUAAAACACCGGAGGGCAGGACCAUUUUGGCAUAUAGCACUUCUGAAAUCCAACAACCCUAUGCGGCCCUUUAAACCAGAUUCCCCGUACCGCGAGUAGUUAAAAAAAAUAUUAUAACGACACUUAUAUAAGUUAUAAUAAUAGCUCAAAUAUUUAUUAUAAGUUCAUAAUAACAAUACUAAUUUUAAAUAUAAGCUAUAUUAAAAUAAGGUAAGCAUAACUUACUUACAAGGGGGUUUUAGCUAGGAGUCGGGCUCUGCAGGGGCAGAACUUCGUCGCUGAAUCUUUCUAAGAAAGAUUCGUGCAGCGCUUCAGCGCUCACCUUACUAUACUAAGCUACAGAAAGAGAAGUCGAAUCACGAGGGACCGAAAUGCUCGGGGGAUAAGGAGAGAAAGACUCUUGAAUCAAGAGAAUGGUGCAAGAAAUAUGAGAGCCCAAGGCUCUUAUUUAUACUAAUUGAAUUUUCAAAAACUACCCUCCAUAAUUACUUAAUGACCUUUUAGUUAUAUAAACAACUAAACACCCCUCUAUAAUACUAUUAUAAAUGGAUUUAAUGAUAUUUGUACUAAACUAAUGUCGAAAGAACUCAACAUUAGUCUUAUAAUGACCGCAUCGUCGAUACCUUUCUAAUGAUAUAUACAUAUGUAUAUAUAUGUGUACGUAUACAUGAUUUAUACUUUAUUUUAAUACGUAAAUAUGCUAUUAUAAUUUGUAACUCGUUCAUACGAACUCCGUUUUUGACGUUCUUUAUAUCCACGCGUAGGUGAAGACGUACUCUACAACUUUCGUUUAGACUCCGUCGGCUAAUUUUGACUUUAUUUUUAAAGUUAUAUUUUUAACAAGCCGGGACAGGAUUGGUCUGUUUAAAAUCUCAUAACUUCUUCAUACGAAGUCAGAUUUGGGCGUUCUUUUUAUCGAUGUUCUUAGUUUAACAUAUUCUACGACUUUCGUUUAGAUCACUAAGGCUAAAUCUCGCUCUAUCGUAAAUUCACUAUUCACGCUUCCCGGUAUCGUGCCGGUUCUGUCGUGAAACUUCGACGGGUCAUAACUUCUUCGUUAUAACUCGGAUUUCGGCGUUCCUUAUAUGCACGGAAACCUUGAGACAUAUUCUACAACUUUAUGUAGAGAUAUCGGGAUUAUCUCACACUUUAAUUUUGACGCUCAUUUUUAUUCUUUAUUAAUUAUACAUUUAUAAUUAAAUAAUAAACACAUAUAAUUCACAUAAUACUCAAAUAUUUCAUCUUUAUUACUUCAAAAAGAGUUACAAGAGUUGACCUAGACUAUUACAUUGACAAAAAUGCUUAGCCCUGAAACCCGGGCGUUACAAUUCUCUCCCCCUUAGGAUGAUUCCGUCCCGGAAUCAUGCAUCAGCAAACAGAUGUGGAUAGCGACUCAUCAUGUCAUCCUCUGUUUCCCAAGUGAGAUUCGGCCCAUUCGAAUGUUUCCAUCGGACUAGCACCAAGUCGACCAUCUUGCGUCGUAACUUCUUAGUCUUACGGUCAACAAUUGCCUCAGGCUCUUCGAUCAACCUUUUAUUUUCAUCCAUCCUUAACUCUGAGAUUGGAAUUAUGUCGGGAACAUCUCCCGUGAAUUUCCUCAAAUAACACACAUGGAAGGUGUUAUGAAUACCAUUGAGUUCUUCGGGCAAUUCCAGCUUGUAAGCUUGGUUCCCUAUCUUCUGAAGAACUUUGAACGGUCCAAUAAACCUUGGACUCAACUUUCCUCGUUUCCCAAAUCGUAUAAGUCCCUUCCACGGUGAGACUUUAAGCAAAACGGAAUCCCCAACUUCGAAAGUUAUCGGUCGUCUUUUCUUGUCAGCAUAGCUCUUCUGACGAUCCUGGGCUGCUAACAUCCUUUCCCUAAUCACCUUCAACUUCUCAGCAGUCUCAUGGACUAUCUCGGGGCCCAUAAACUGCUUCUCUCCGGCUUCAAGCCAACAAGACGGCGUACGACACUUCUGCCCAUACAAGGCUUGAUAAGGAGCCAUCUUGAUGCUCGAGUGAAAACUAUUGUUGUAGGAAAAUUCUACCAGAGGUAAGUGCUCGUCCCAAUUCCCUUGGAAUUCGAGGGUACAUGCUCUCAGCAUAUCUUCCAGCGUCUGAAUCGUUCUUUCGCUCUGACCAUCAGUUUGCGGAUGAUAAGCAGUACUCAAACACAACUUUGUACCUAACUCCUCUUGUAGACUCCUCCAAAACCUUGACGUGAAACGACUAUCACGAUCUGAUACAAUCGUAAGAGGGACACCGUGAAGUCUUACAAUUUCCUUCACGUAAGCAUUUGCGAGCUUAUCCAUAGACCACUUCUCGUUGGCUGCUAUGAAGUGUGCACUCUUGGUGAAACGAUCCACGACUACCCAAAUCAUGUCGUGACCGUUCUUCGUCCUGGGCAGUUUAGUCACAAAAUCCAUGGUGAUGUCUUCCCAUUUACCCAUGGGUACAGGUAAAGGUUCUAAACUCCCAUACGGUUUCUGAUGUUGUGCCUUAACCCUCGCACAUGUUACGCACUCGGCCACAUACUUCGCAACAUCGAGCUUCAUCGUCGGCCACCAGUAGUAGGGUUUUAGGUCCCUAUACAUUUUAGUGCUACCGGGAUGAAUCGAGUACAUGGUCUUGUGUGCUUCUUCCAUCAGAAGAUCUCUUAUUCCUCCCGUCUUAGGUACCCAAAUUCGAUCUUGGAAUACCUUCAGUCCUCGACUGUUUGUACCAAACACUAACGUUCUUCCCAAACGUUCUUCCUUUCGGUCAUUUUUCUCUAAAGCUUCUUCUUGAGCUUUCCUGAUACUUUCCACAAUCGUCGAGACGACUUCAAUUCUUAACGCUCUUGGCCUUUUCCUUUCCAGAUUGACUUUCCGACUGAGAGCAUCAGCAACAAUAUUUGCUUUACCUGGGUGGUAAAGUAUCUCACAGUCGUAGUCCUUGAGAAGUUCUAGCCAGCGUCGUUGCCUCAUGUUCAACUCCUUCUGAUUAAAGAGAUACUGGAGACUCUUAUGAUCAGUGAAGAGCUUGCACUUCGUGCCGUAGAGGUAAUGCCUCCAUAUCUUUAAGGCAAAAACUACCGCUGCCAACUCCAGAUCAUGAGUGGGGUAGUUCUUUUCGUGCUCUUUCAAUUGUCGAGAUGCGUAUGCUAUCACCUUUUCUCUUUGGGUCAGAACACAACCCAACCCGACUCCAGAAGCGUCACUAUAAACCGCGAAAUCUUCGACUCCAUCGGGUAGAGAAAGUAUCGGUGCUUCACAUAACUUCUUCUUUAGCUUCUCGAAUGCCUCAUCGUGUUUCUCACUCCACGUAUACGUAGCUCCUUUAUGAGUCAAAGCUGUUAAUGGAGCAGCUAUCGAAGAAAAGCCUUGGAUAAAUCGUCGAUAAUAUCCGGCUAAUCCUAGAAAGCUUCGAAUCUCCGUGGGACUCUUUGGACGUUCCCACUUCAUUACAGCCUCGAUCUUUGCGGGGUCAACCAUUAUUCCCUCCUGGUUAACAACAUGACCCAAGAAUUGGACUUCCCGUAUCCAAAAGUCGCAUUUGGAGAACUUUGCAAAAAGCUUCUCCUUCUUCAACACUUCUAAUACUUCCCGUAGAUGCUUGCCAUGCUCCUCUUGGCUUUUCGAGUAGAUGAGAAUGUCGUCGAUGAACACUAUCACGGAUUUAUCGAGGAAUGGUUUACAAACCCUAUUCAUCAAAUCCAUGAAUGCUGCGGGAGCAUUGGUUAGCCCGAAUGACAUAACCAAGAACUCGUAGUGUCCAUAUCUCGUUCUGAAUGCAGUCUUCUCAAUAUCCUGCUUUCUCACCUUUAGCUGAUGAUAUCCUGACCUAAGAUCGAUCUUUGAGAAGUAGCUCGAACCUUGCAGCUGAUCGAAUAGGUCAUCAAUCCUCGGCAAUGGAUACUUGUUCUUCACCGUUGCCUUAUUCAGCUCUCGGUAGUCUAUACACAUUCUCAUACUUCCGUCCUUCUUCUUCACGAAUAACACCGGAGCUCCCCAGGGUGAUGAACUAGGUCGAAUAAAACCGUUGUCCAACAGCUCCUGAAGUUGCGUCAUGAGCUCCUUCAUCUCCGUCGGUGCUAAUCGGUAAGGUGCCUUUGCUAUCGGUGUUGUUCCUGGUAACAAGUCUAUACGAAACUCCACUUGCCUAUCAGGUGGUAAUCCGGGAAGAUCUUCGGGAAAGACUUCCGGAUAAUCACACACAACCGGUAUAUUCUGCACCUCUUUCUUCUCCUUCUUGGCAUCGAUUACGAAUGCCAAGUAUGAUGCACAUCCUUUGGACAAACAUUUCCUGGCUUUCAUCAGGGAGAUGAUUCCAGAAUUCACUCUGCGUUUGUCCCCAUACACCAUAAAUGAUUCUUUUCCGGGUGGGUUUACCUUUACUAUCUUCUUUCGGCAUUGAAUCUCAGCAUCGUUGGCGCUAAGCCAAUCCAUACCCAAAACGAUGUCGAAACCGUUUAACUCUAUGGGUAAUAGCUCUUCGUGGAAUUCGUUUCCGUUUAGGUCAAUGACGAUGUUCCUAAUACGAUUACUAACAGGUACGAAUUUGCCACUGGCAACUUCUACAAUCAGGGCAUUAUCUAGUUUUUCUACAGGCAAUGCUAAUUUCCCACCAAAUUUAUGCGACACAAAGGAGUAGUUGGCUCCGGAAUCAAAUAGUAUAUUUGCAGGCAAACCAUUUACAAGAAAGGUACCUGAAGCGACGUCUGCUGCCUCCUUUGCAGCCUCGAGCGUCAUCUGGAAGGCUCUCGCCUUCGGCUUCGGUGGUAUGUUGGGUCUUCCUGUCUCCUUCUUCUUCGGGCAGUCCUUCAAAAUGUGCCCUUCUUCAUUGCACCCAUAACAGGCUUUCUGGUUGAGGGUGCAUUCAUUGGCGUAGUGCCCAGGCUUUCCGCACUUGUAACAAGUGACCCCUCCGUCACACUUCCCAGAGUGCUUCUUCUUGCACUUGUCACACCACUUCGCUUCUGAUCCUCCUCCCCUCGAACCAGACUUCGAGAAUCUACUCUUCUUGUUGGACUUCGAGGAUCCAUUGAACUUCCGUUUCUCACCAACCUCAGCCCUCUCCAGACCUCUUUCCUUUUGUUGGGUCUCCACGUUCUUAGCUGCUCGAACAGCUGAUUUCAGAGUGGUUGCCAUCUUGACUGUUGGGCCAAAGUCAGCCGGCAGUCCGUUUGCGAAUUUCUCAAUUUUGGAAAGUUCGGUUGGCACUAGGUAUGGAAACAACUUCAUCUUUUCCGUAAAUGCAGCAGCAUAGUCAUCGAUGCUCAUUCUCCCCUUCUUCAAAUUUUGGAACUCAUUGUUCAGAUCAAUCAGGUCUAUCUCUGAACAGUACUGCGCCUUCAGUUGUUCCAAGAACUCAUCCCAUGACAUUUUCAGAGCUUCUCCCCGUGGCAUUGUAUCUGCCAAUAGCUUCCACCAGCUCAAGACUCCAGUUUUCAAUUGUCUCACAGCGAAGACAGUCUUCUGCUUCUCGCUGCAGUCGCAGCUCUCAAACACCAUCUCCAUCUCGGAGAUCCAGUCCAUAAUCUCAACAGGCUUUGGGCUUCCUGAGAGACUUGGUGGUUUCGCACCCAAGAAAUUUUUGUACAUCCGCCCAUCCUUGUUGUUUCUCCCUUCUGGGCCAUCCUUUUGCUCACCUUGAGUCCCUACUUGACUCACUUGGCGGCUAUAGUUCCCUUCCUCAGAUGGCUCGGGAACUGGCUCCGUCGGUUCAACAUGUAUGGUAGGUUCGUCCCUAUUUUCGUGGAGCAUCCGUCUCAUUUCUUCCCUUUGUUCAGCUAGCAUAGCCUGAAUCAUGGCUUGAACUCCAGCCAUGGUGACUGGCUCAGGUGCAACUUCUUCAACAACAGGUAUUUGCUGAACCACUGGGGGUUGGUUCCUACCUCCAUUUGCGUUCACGUUUCCGCUACGGGUCCUUGCCAUCUUGAUCUAUACACCGAAUAAGGUGAAUUUAGAUCUUUAUUUAGGAUAGACGUUUUAAAUCGUCCUUAUCACUCCGAAACGUUUACAUGCUAGUUCUAAUAUCGUAGUCGUACGUUUAGAAUCCUAAACACAUAAGGUUUCCAGAUCCGGUCGGCAACAGACCAUAGAUCCGAACAAUUAACAGCAUAUUAUGCACAAAGCAUUUAGCACAUAAAAGCAUUUUAGGCACAAUUCCUAAAAUAAGCUAGUGCUCACACCUCACAAUCAUCGCUUAGCAUUCUAAGUUUAAGUCUAGAAAUCCUACAAAUUCCUAGUUCGCUUAAACUAAUGCUCUGAUACCAACUGUGACAUCCCCAAAAUCACGGCCAGAAAAGACCGGUUUGUUUAUGCUUUGUUUAAAAAUCAGAGUUACAUUUUAAAUGAAAGUGUUGCGGAAUUUGUCCCAAAACAAAAAUAUGAUAAAGAUUUAUCAAAAGCAUUUCCAUAGAAAUGUAUUUCAUUAAAAGACUCGGGAUGUCAUGUUCGUACAGAUCAAAAGCAUAAACAGUACAAUAUAAGCCUUACUACAUUAUUUCAUAUCUACAGGCCUAUAUCCGUAAUCCCUCGUCCAAAACAUCACAUCUAUGCUCAUGCGCCACUACCUGUAAUACAUAAAACUGAGUGGGUCAGGCUUGGGAGCCUGGUGAGCACAUAGGGUUUUCAACCCACAAUAAAUAAGUUUAUUAAUUUCAUCAAUCAACAAUAACCCGAUUACCCGUUCCCGUUAUCCUCACUUUACGUCCCUAAACACCUAUCAUAAGGGACCUAGCCUAAGGAUCAUCAUCGGGACGGACACUACUGCUAAGGGGAUUCCUCAGCAAUAAAUGUCCUAAAGGCAACCAUGUGGGGGAUGGAGUACACCGGUGAACACAUCGUUCACAAACACCUACAGGUUGCGAGCCUGCUAGUGUUCCACUGGACUGUCUAGAAGAGUCCGUGGUCGUCAUCCAUACUCCGCUAGAUGACAGAAACAACAACAUCAACAUCGAGGCCUCUCAUCAUUUUAUCACACAUCAGCUAUUACAUCUACCCAUGUUUUACCCCAACAUUUUCGUAGAUAUAAAAUACAUAUACAGUUUAAAUCAUUGAAAACAUGUAUAACAAUGUUCAUCCAGCAUAGAUAGCAAGUAUUCAGAUAAUAUGCACACAUAGCACGUAAUUUAUAUAAAAUACUUCAUAUCUAUGUGUAAGCUGAAAGUAACUAUGCACUCACCUGAUUAGGUGGUGACUCAGCACUCGGACAGCGCUUCGAUACUCUCAAAACGAUAUUCCUUCGAUAAAACCUAGUAUCGAUACCACUAGGGUUUAGUUUAACGAUAACCGCGACAAAUUAAUUAGUCCGAGUAUUAUUAAGCGUUAAUAAUACUCGAUAUAACUCAUAAUAAUAGCCCAAAUAAUUAUUUUAAGGACCUAAUAACAUUCCUAUAAUUAUUUGAAAGCUAUAUUAAAAAUUGCGUAAGCGUAGCACACUUACAGCGAAUUUUAUCGAGAACCGGGACUUAAUUGGAGCAGCGUUUCGAAACCGAAAAACUCCUUUUUCUCGGGACUCCGGGAGCCUCGGGGCUUCCCUAGGGUGCUAAGGGUUUUACCUAGGGCUUAGGAGGGUUUAGAUGAGCUAGAGAGAGAAACUAGUGAGAGAAAGAAGAGGUUUUGGGGUGAAGAGAAAUGGCAGCCUCGCACCUCAAUUUAUAGGGUCUGGCUUCGGACAUUACGCUGGGCGUACCGAGGGUACGCUGGGCGUACUCCUCGGAUAAGAUUGCCAGCCUCGGACCAGCUGUCUUGCACUCCAUCGGACGGAUAAGAACCGAAGUACGCGGGGCGUACUUGGCCUCGGACGCGGGGCGUUCUUCGGACGCUAGGCGUAUCCUCGCUACGCUGGGCGUAACCCUCGCACCAGGUGUCACCAUCCGAAGCGAUUUCAUCCGACGGCUGGGAGUUCGGCCACGUCAUCCUUUCAUGCAUCAGUUUCGCAAGUUUACUUUCCAACUUUAAAAAUUCGUAACUUUCUCAUACGAACUCCGUUUUUAACGUUCUUUAUAUCCACGCGAAGGUGGGAACGUACUCUACAACUUUCGUUUAGACUUCGUCGGCUAAUUUUGGCUCGAUUUUAAAUUUUAUAUUAUUAACGGGCCGGGACACGAUUGGUCCGUUAAAUCCUCAUAACUUCUUCAUCCGACAUCCGUUUUCACCCAUCUUUUUCUCGUUACGCUACCCUUAACGAGAUCUUCGAUUCUCGUUCAGGUCGUGUCGGCUAAAAACCGCUCGAUCUAAUAUUCGAAUUUCGGGCUGUACACUGCUAUUCCGAAACUUCGAAAAAUCAUAACUUCUUCAUACGAAGUCAGAUUUGGGCGUUCUUUUUAUCGAUGUUCUUAUUUUAACAUAUUCUACGACUUUCGUUUAGAUCGCUAAGGCUAAAUCUCGCUCUAUCGUAAAUUCACUAUUUACGCUUCCCGGUGCUGUGCCGGUUUUACCGUAAAACUUCGACGGGUCAUAACUUCUUCGUUAUAACUCGGAUUUCGGCGUUCCUUAUAUGCACGGAAACCUUGAGACAUAUUCUACAACUUUAUGUAGAGAUAUCGGGAUUAUCUUAUACUUUAAUUUUGACGCUUAUUUUUAUUAUUUAUUAAUUGUACAUUUAUAAUUUAAAUUAUAAGCACAUAAAUACACAUAAUUCACAUAAUACUUUAUUACUUCAAAAAGAGUUACAAGAGUUGACCUAGACUAUUACAUUGACAAAAAUGCUUAGCCCCGAAACCCGGGCGUUACACCUAAGGCUUGCAGGCAAACAUUACAGGAACGCGAUCUCCUUAUUGGCCAGUUUUUUCCGAACUUCCAUCUCAUCCCCAAACAAUACAGCCGCUUGGCUGUCUUCCUUCCUGACAAGGAUGCAAAACUUAUCUCAGUUUCACACCUAUAUCUGCUCCUGGAAACCUGAUCGAUUAUCCCCAACUUAGCUUCAACUAACAUUCCACAACACAUAAUAUUGGAAGGAUUCUCAAUCAUUCUUACUACCCAUGACCAAUCUGCUAGAAACCACGCUUACCAUUGCUAGUGUUUCAACACCAACUAAUCCAAAGGAUCACACCACCUCCAAGACCCCGAAUAAAUCUCCAGUAAUAACCUGCUAGACCUAGGAAGCUCCGAAUCUCAAUUGGAGACCUCGGAAUCUCCCACUGCAUCACGACCUCUAUCUUGGCCGAAUUAACUAAUACACCCUUCUGGUUGAUAGGGUGCCCAUGGAAUUGCACCUUGCGUAACCAUAACUCACAUUUGGAGAACCUUGCAAAAAAUUUAUCCCUCCUCAAAGUCUCUAGCACCUCCCUCAGGUGCUUCUCGUGCUGCUCCUCGAUUUUCGAAUAAACCAAGAUGACACUAUACUCUCCCAAUCCCGCAUGUGUUGUACUGAAUCUAACCCUGCUGGUCCCUCAAAAUCUAAUCCGGAAUCUAGGGUCUCCUCCCGAGACCCUCAUUAUAAGCAACGGAUCUGAUUCCCUCUUACCAAUGUGCUCCAAGUCCAUAUCUCGCUCUCAAGCUCAAGAAGUCAUAUCAUUCAGGGUCUUGCACCCCGAGAUACUCACGAUCUCCCUGCUAUCAUUCUACAAUAUGUUCUGAUAACUUACCUUCUUCCUUUCCUCAUCUACUGCAUAUUGUGGUACCAUAUAAGCUCUUUCCCGAGACUUGGAAGUGAUCUCUGCCACAGUCUCGGUCGUCUAGUGGAGAUCUAACAACUCUUGCGCCAACUGUAGCGCCUCAAACGCAUGGGCACACUCUGCCCAUAAUCUGGUCUAAAAUUCAUACCAUGACGUAGCAUCAACCGCAUCAUCACUCAACCUUCGACCAACAUCUUCCUAUCAAUCUCGUGCUCUGUCCCUCAGGAGAUAGGAAGUAUGUCAGAUCUUGUCUCCUUUUGUGACAACGUCUGGUACGAAAAGCGUUGAUGACAUCUGCCAACCAUCUGCUGCUAACAAUGGGGUCCCUAAUUCCCCAAUGACAAUCUGAAGCCUCACAGACUCUAAGUUCCCGAAACAUCAACGUACGGGUCCCCAUCAUGACUGCUAUCUCAGUGCAGAUUGCACUCGGCCUCUCAUCACAAGUCUCUAUAAUGCCCUCCUUGAUCAUAUUGGGGAUCACAUGAGUCUGGUCAAUGAUACUGCACAUAAUCUCAGAUGGAAUGAACUCCCUCAUCUGAUCAUCGAGCUGCCCGACUAUAGAGUCCGAGCUUGAUCCCUCGUCGACACUAGAACUACCAUCUGGUCUACCUCUAAGCGUUACUAUACAUGGAAAUAUACCAUCACGAUCAUCAUAAUACUCAUCAUACUCGAGGAAUCUCACACACUACGAGUUCCCUGGUCUUAUCAUAGCCUUCCUUGAUUCGAGUACGGAUCCUAUGCUUUCAGUAGUACGGGCCCAUACUACCUUCCACAUUUGUCCGUACUUUCCUCAAGAACUGCCUUGAGUCUACCAAGUCCCUUCUACUGCUACUGCUCUCUGCUACUCUCAUCUUAGGCUUGCCCUAGGGUAAUCACCAUUCCACUCUUUACCAUCAGUUGCAUAAGAAGUCCAUGCUUUUUUCCCCUAACGAGCUCGCGAAUACUAUUACAUAUCACUCAGACUAGAUAAUUCUUCGAAUGAGAGAUCCUACCCUACAAUGGUUGGACUCAAACAAGAGCUGCGAAAUAGAGCUAGACCUAACCUUCUGAAAUUAUUUAAUCCUCGCAAUAUGUAAUGUAACAUAUUUAUUUACUAGUUAGUAAAAGAUAUCUAAAACUCCUAAGAGCACAAAGCAAGCAGCAUUUGAUCAUCGAGUACACAUAAUCAAGCAUCUACUACUCUGGCUAUCAUACUGACAAUUCUGUACUAGCAUACAGUUCUCAUAAAGCUGGAACACAUAUAAUAGGCACAUAGGGCAUCCUUCCUAGAUCCUUAGUCCUAAUCUAGCAUGUUGUUCUAAAUAAGCUGAUAAUCAUAACAUAGCAUAAACAUGUAUGGGUAAUUUAGGAGUACUUACUUGAGCUCGGCUGAUUGCAUGCACCACACCCUUUUUCUCUUUUCAAAUUUCUUUUCUUUCAAAAAAAUUCUUUUCGUUUUUCUAAAACUCGUUGCUUUUGAAAACUUUAUACCACUUCCUUAGUUUGAGUUUAGACACACUCGGAAGUACGCCUGAAUCCCUCAAACCAAGGCUCUGAUACCAACUAGUAACAUCCCAAAAAUACAGUCUAAAAAUUUCGUUUUAAUUUAAUAAUAAAACCAUAGUUAUCGAACAUCAUAUAAAAAUCAUAAGCAAUGUAUCUCAAAAUAUCGUAACAAUUGUCAAAAUAUCAGAUUAUAAACAUCCCAAGCUGAACAGAUGGUGUGUGCACUGCAAUCUUCCCAAGCUCCUCUUUUGAAAACUGAGUACCUGAAACCAAAACUGAAACUGUAAGCAUGAAGCUUAGUGAGCUCCCCCAAACUACCACAUACCAUACAAUAACAUAUAAAGCAAAUAUUGGGUCUUGCCCACUACAUCGGACCGAAGUCCGGAAUAACUAGGGCCUCGCCCACUGCAUCAUACCGACGUCCGGAAUAACUAGGGCCUUGCCCACGGCAUCGGACCGAAGUCCGGACUAACUAGCGCCUCGCCCACUGCAUCAUACCGAAUUUCAGAAUAACUAGGGCCUUGCCCGCUGCAUCGGAACGAAGUCCGAACUAACUAGGGCCUCGUCCACUGCAUCGGACCGAAGUCCAGAAUAACUAGGGCCUUGCCCGCUGCAUCGGACCGAAGUCCGGAAUAAACUGAACAUAGCAUAAACAUGAUCGUAAACAUAUAACAUAAUCACAUAUACAUGCAUGAAUCAUAAAGACAUCAAGCAUAAAAAACUAAUUCUCGGGACUACCGCCGGCAUCGGACGACAGUCUGGAACUACUAUCAUCUAAACGCGCCGACAUUGUGGCCGUAGACCUGCUCCUGCUGGAAGGAAACUCACCUCUCACUGCUGAAGUCCCGCUGACAAAACCCUAGCUUCUAGAUGACAUAUUCCCGAAUCUGUCAAUUAUCAAAAUAACACCCAAUUAAUAAUUGGGUUCCAACUCAUAACCAUAAGUCCAUACAUGGGGUAAAAGACUACUUUACCCCUAUCUUAGCUUAACUCAAUCCCAAGGCCCAAUCCAAAGGCCCAAAAGUCUAAUAAUGGACCAAGGCCCAACUAUGGCCCAUCUAUGGCCCAAUUUUCCCAAUUGGGCCCAAGUCCCUACAUGGUCUUGAUCAAAGGCCCAACCAUUUAGUCUAGUCCAACAUUUGGCAUUCUAUUGGUCCAAUAUCAUAUAACCAUCAAGCCCUAAACUAUAGUCCAUCCAUGGCCCAAUUUUCCAAUUUGGGGCCAAUCCUUCAUAUGGGCCUUACCCUAAAGCCCAUCUAAUUACUCUAGUCCAUUUAAUUAUUCUUGGAUGGCCCAUUUAUAACCAGUUACCAAAGCCCAAAGGAAAGGCCCAACUCAAGGCCCAAGUGAAAUUAGGGUUUCACAUAAAAUGACGAUCAGGGUUAAGUGUUUCUCACUCAACCCAUUAAGAACUUAACCCACUAAGGACUUAAUCCAUUAAGGACUUAAUCCAUUAAGCCCAAUAUUGCUUAGAUUAAUUUCUACCAAUGAUUAUUAUCUAAUAUUUCAAGUUAUUAAAUAAUUCUCGUGUGUUUACCGAUAAAUUCUCAAAAUUAGGGUUUUAUUGGCAUUAGGGAUUUCCAAACCCUAAUUAGGGUUUCCAACCCAAAUACUAGCCCAUUUAUCAAUUUGUUGGGCCUUUGGGUAAAUUAGGGCUUUAUUGGGCCUAUUAGGCCAACUAGGAUAUCAUUAAGCCCAUUAGUCACAUGCUUGAGCUUUUAGGUCCAUUAAGCUUCAUUUGGCCCAUUAAGGCUUAUCAAGCCCAUUAGGGUUUUAAUCCCUUGUCCAAGAUUCCAAAUGAACCACAACACAAACGAGGCACACCGCCACCCGACAAGGCGGCCGGUGGCGGCAACCACCACCCUACAGUGGUGGUUUUGAGAUUUCUAUUAUUAUUGCGUCUUUUGUUACAAAUUACAACGAAAAUCCCAAAAAUAAACACACACACACUAAAAUACACCCACCCAUGGUUGUACAAGGCGGCAGCCAACACCUCACGGUGGUGGCGGUGGCUUUCUUUGAUUUUCCGGCCAAUGAACACUUCAUGCUACUCUUCAUCGGAAUAAACCCGCACACACCCAUAUGUACUCAUAGCCACCCCACACACGGUGGUCGAAGGUGGCAGAAACAAAAUGGUGGUAGCCAGCAUGGUUGGCUGCCAUGGUGGCUCUCUUCAACAUCCAGCCAGCCAACAAAACGCACAAUACACGAGCGCAACAACGAUUUACACUCACACACACGCGAAGCAUGAGCACCCACCCCGCAGUAACACUUCAAACCCGAAGGAGGAAGACGGCGACGGAUAAACUAGCUUCAGCGGCUACGAUCGGCGUUGUCAGUGGCAGAUAAAGCUGGAAACGAAACAGAAGAGGGAGAAGAGAGGGAGCGUCCGAGAGCGACAGCGUUUCUGGUGGUUCCACGAUUCCCACACGACAACAGCACCUUCACGGUGCUCCUUUGACCGGCCAUGGUGGUUUUGCGACGUUCGGGGGUUGGCUUUUACGACUUCUUGUCUUCACGGUGGCGGAGGAAGGAUGGCCUUGGUUGGGGAAUGACCUGCUUUUCGGACUCAUAUGAUCGGAACCGCAUGGUAGGGUGGCGUCUGGAGGUGAAGAAGGGGGGGAGGCAUAAGGAGAUGACGGCUGGAAGGGUUUUCUAGGGUUAGGGUUACAGAUCCUUAUAUACUCGAUCCCAUUAUAAGAGUUUUCCAUAAUGACCAGAAUGGUCCCCCAGCUCUAAUUAAUUUCAAAAUAGAUCCAUAUUUUACACUUUUAACACUGCCUUCAGAAAUCUUUACAAACCGAAUCCAAAACUUACCUUUUAAGCCCUAAUCCCAUAAAAUCUUUCAUAAUAGAUCCCUAAAUUACCAAUAAACCCUUAAGCCUUCAAAUCUUUUCAAUUUAAGUCCAUAAAUUACCAAACGCACCCUGACCUUCGAAAUCCCUUUCAAUUUAAUCCCGAACUUACACUUUUAACCCCUAACUUUUAAAAUCCUUCACAAAUUAGUCUGGGGCUUACAUUUACUAAUUUAUUUAAAUAAACGGGGCGUUACAAUAGUUUACAAGAUAUUCAUGACACUACACAUACUAUAAACACUAUGACGAGGAAACACUUAUAAAUACAAGAAAAAUGGACCUUUCAUACGUAAAUUUAUUGAUACUAACUUAUGUAAGACAUUUGACUUCACCGUAGUUUUAAAUACGCAUUUCGAGUCCUAUAUUAUAAACCAUAAUCUCUUGUAGGGAGAGCGUGCUACUUGUGUAUAGAUCUAUAUGGGACUGACAAUUCCGCGCCUAAAUUGUUAGCUAUAGUUAGACCGGCAGGUCUGGGGUGACAAACGGCAUAUCAUUUCAAUGCCUGAAGAACGUUGCUAUAGGUAGUCUGGGUCAAUAGCAUGGUUAUAAAACUCACAUGAAGUAUUAAAAUAUUUUGAUUUAUGGGGAUAUUAAGCGCCUUAGUGAUUAUAUAUCCAUAUAUAAAUCUACUUACACUAUUUUAGGUAUGGAAAAUACUAAUGCGUUUUGGUUUGGAACUUUUAAAACUACCACACAUUUAUGGAAAAUAUUGGAUUUUCUAGAAACAAACUCAAUUAUUUUAUACGGAAAGGCAUACAAUUCUAAUAAGAAAACACUUAUGAACUUACCAACUGAAUUGUUGACACUUUUUCAAAACUACUUGUAUUUCUCAGGGAUUCAGUAAUACAGGUAAACAUCAGCUUUUGGGGAAAGGACGCUAAGACGUCAGUUCAAAACUUAUUUCAUCAUCAUAUUGUAAUUUACUUUUGAAACAUGUAAUACGACAAUCAUGUAAACUCUUCAAUUAUAUAUAUAUAUAUAUAUGGUGGUUGUGUUUGCUUUCUUUUCUAUUACGCAACCAUUAUGAUACUACGUGAAGUCAUCCACCCUCGAACGAUUCCGCCAUUCUGGUUUGGGGGUGUGACAGAUUGGUAUCAGAGCAUUGUUUAUAGUGAACUAAGUAUAUCGAACCGCACAAGAUAUACAAACUAUAAAUGCAAAGGGACUAAAAAUCUCUUACUAAAACGUUUUCACACAAACUAUACUUUAUUAAAUUAAAAUGUUAGUUUCUUAAAAGUAUAAAUACAUGUGUGCACAACAGUUUAAUGUCAUAGUUAGACCUAUAUGAAAGUAUUAAGACAAGUUGGACACUAUGAUUAAGCCUCGGAGUACGUAAUCAGAUCAAGGAUGAAUAUAGGCAGAACGAGGCAAUAGCUGACCCCACGGUGGUUACGGGUACGUUUCUUCUCAACAACACUUAUGCAUGCAUACUCUUUGAUUGUGGUGCGGAGAGGAGUUUCGUGAGCCAUAAAUUCAAACACUUACUUAAACAAAACCCCCAAUCACUCAAUAAGAUAUUUACAGUAGAAAUGGAAAACAGUUGUAACAGCCCAAAAUCUCAAGUAUUGCUAAAUUGCAUUUUGGGGUGUUUUAAAGGGGAGACUCGGCGAGUUGGAGCCAGACUCGCCGAGUAGGGUCGCAGAGUUGGUCGCGGGUUCGCGACUGGACUCGACGAGUCCAGGUAUGGACUCGGCGAGUCGACGCUGUUCAGCGGAAACCCUAGCCGUUCAGUAUUGGGUCGUAUAUAAGGGUUAUUAUGCCGUCAUUUCACGACUUUGGAUCGAUUGGGAAGAACCCUAGGCGACUGGGGCGGCUAGAGCAAGCUUGAAGGCCAUUGGUGACCUUGAAGGAAUUGUUGUGCAAGGAGGAGAAGGGUUUUAGCUAAAGGAACUGCAGGGAGUUCGAGUUCUGAAGUUUGGGGACAUGGAAGGUACAUCAUUCAGGUAAUAAUUCGGAUUACAUUCUCCUGUGAUUGAUGUGUAUAUAGAUUUAGGGUUUAUGGAACCCAUUUGGAGUCUAGAUGGAUUGUUGUGUUGUUAUUCAACGUUUAUAACCUUGUAUUAGGACCCUUAGAGGUCCAGAAGGUCCCAUGUUUGUAUAUUCGAGAAUAUAUGUAUCUCAGGAAGCAGUUCGAUCGACUGCAUGGCGUAGACUCGCCGAGUCGGAUGAUCAGACUCGGCGAGUAGCUUGAAGAUUCACUGGGACUCGCCGAGUUUGUUCUUCAGGCUCGGCGAGUAGAGUCGGGGUGGCCCCGCGAUUCUUCCACGAGGACCUCGUCGAGUCAAGAGGGAUACUCGACGAGUAGAAAGGGAUCAUGCAGGAAUUGGUGAGGACGACUAGACUCGCCGAGUCGCCAGGGUACUCGCCGAGUCCAGUCGAGAUGGCCGUUGACCAGAGUUGACCUGUGUGUAACGUUUUAGGGUCAGUUAACGUGGAAGAUAGAAGUAUUAAAAAGAGAUAUAUGAUGAGACAGGGAGCUUGUAGCUCGGAGGAUCAAGUGCAAGAGAUUUCAGGAGUUGCUAUCUUCCAGUGUCCGCGAGGUGAGUCUUCUCACUAUACUGUACCCGGAAGGGUUUGACUGUGUGACCGGAAGGUCGGAUAUGAUAUGUGAUAUGUAUGCUAUAUGUGGUAAGUUAUUUGUUAUAUGUGCUAUGUAUGUUAUGGGCCGGAAGGCGAUUAUAUUAUGGGCCGGAAGGCAAUAUGUUAUGGGCCGGAAGGCGAUAUGAUGUGUGAUGGACCGGAAGGUCGGCGUGGGUAAGGCCGGAAGGUUUACCCAGCAGGGACGGAAGUCCCCUGAGACACAUGGACCGGAAGGUCGGGCCUGGAAAGGCGUAUGUGCGUAAGUUGUAUAUUGGGGAACUCACUAAGCUUCGUGCUUACAGUAUUUAUGUUAUGUUGUUUCAGGUUCUUUCAGUAACGCGGAAUGGCAUCGGCUCGAUUGUACACACCGAGGAAAGAGUUGUAUUUUGGAGGAUCCUGGUUGUCUAUUCAAAUGAAAAUGGAACUAUGUUUUGUAAUUCGAAUAUGAAUAAGAUUUUAAACAAGUGUUUUAAUAUUAAAUUGAUUAUUUAAAUGAAAAAUUUUGCUUUGAAAAUCACGGUGUUACAUUUGGUAUCAGAGCCUUGGUUUGAGGGAUUCGGACGCGCCUACGGGUGAGUCUGGACUCAAACUGAGGAAUUAAGAAAAGGUUUUCAAAUAAAUAGUUUUCUAAAAGUGAAUAAGAGUUCAAAGAGAAAGCAAGAAAGAGCAGUGUGUACAAUCAGCCAGAGCCAAACGGUGAUUUCCCAAAAUACCCUUACUUUUGUAUUAUGAAAUAUCUAUUAUGCACUUUAUGAGACAUUAUUGCAUGCUAGAGACAGGCUAGGUAUUUCACAUCUUAGGACUAGAGUGGCCUGAUUUGUGAUGCCUUAGUCUAGGGUUUGCUGUUAUAUGUGCGUUAUGCUUUUGUGUGUAUGUGAUGAGUGAGAGUAUCUAGUUAGAACGCACAAGGGGUAAAGCUACGGGGUACAGAGGUACUUCCGAGGAUGAGCCGAGAAGGUGGAGCUACCACAGAUGGGGAGUCCUAUGUAUGCUUCAAUGCUCGAAUGCUGCUUGCUUUGUGCUUUGUGGAGUUAUCGAUGAUGGGAGUCAGCUACUAAGUGAGUAUGACGAUACUCAGGAGGUAGAGGGCUGGCAUCAUUAGGAACUCUUCAGCAGCUGAUAGCAAAGAAGUGGGAGGACAGCGGAAGGGACUAGGGAGUAAACCUAGCCAGAUGAGUGCGCUGGUAGAGUAGAGGAUUUCGCUGGAAAGCGAGCACGCGCGAUGAGAUGGGUGAAAGAGCAGGUUUAUCAGCUACUUAGGAACUCUGGGAUGGUCCGUGUGGAAAGUAUGGGUAGAUGUGGCAGGUAGUAUGGGCCCGUACUACUGAAAGCAGAGGACCCAUACUUGAUACAGGGGGCAUUCUGAAGGUCCUAAGGAACAGAUUGAGGGGUGAUGUUAUGGUUCGGAUACCAUACAUCGGAGCGGAUACAGAGUGAUGUUAUGGUCCGGGCACCAUACAUCGGAACAGAUUGAGAUAGAUGUUGUGGUCCGAGUGCUAUACAUUGGAGCAGAUUGAGGAGUGGUGCUAUGGUUCAGGUACCAUACACCGAAGCAUGUUGAGGAGGGAUGUCAUGGGAUGAGUACCAUGGUUCGUAGUGGAUGAUGCUUGUGGCUAUCUUGUUAUCCGGUUAUCGAUCGGACGAGCACGAGCGAGCGGGAUGCGAGGAUUCGCGAGAUCCUGCGUGAUGAGGUUGCUGCAUUGUUGCGGGCUGAGUCGCCAGAAUUGUUUGGGUCGAUCAGGACCACUAUGAUUGAAGUAGUUUGAUGAGCGAUAUGCGGCUUUCGCAGAGACGGCUGCCGCGGCGGUUACAGCGGCUGUAGCAACGGCAAAGAAAGGGGCUAGUCGGGGUUUUCAGUAUCGGGACUUCUAUUAUGCGAAGCCUCCCACAUUCGAUGGAGUUCAGGACUCGAUUGUUGCUAUGAGAUGGUUAUCAGACAUGGAGGGGUGUUUCUCCACGAGUUUAUGCCCUGCUGAUCAGAGGGUGGGGUGUGCUCUGAACCUGUUGAGGCUCGGGGCGAAGGAUUGGUGGAGAUUGACCACGAGGUCAUUUUCCGAUGCGCAGAGGGCUGCGGUUUCAUGGGAUCAAUUCAGAGGGAUGUUCAGUACUCGCUAUGUUCCGCGGGAUGAAAAGGAGAAAUUGGCUCGGAAGUUCCUUAAGCUGAAGCAGGAUUUGGAGUCGGUGACUGAGAGCACCGGGAUGUUUAUUGAGAGGGCGAUGUUUUGCCCUGAGUUCGCUUCGGAGCAGGCUCAGAUGUCCCGAUAUCCGAGUAUGCUCAAAAGGGGGUAUCAGACAGUUCGUGUCUGCGCGGAGGUGCGAGACCCUGUUGGAGUUGCAGAAGGCCGCCAUGUGGCGUGAGUUAGAGGUUAAGUUGCAGUUGCGUGAGCUGAGACAGGCCCCGAUGCAGUCGCAGUCGGCGCCGAAACGGUUCAGGACCGUAGACGUUGAAAUGGGGGAUCGGAGCGGUCACACUUGUGGGAAGUGUGAGAGAGAUGGCACCGGAGCUUGUUGUCCCAAUGGUGCAUGCCGCGAGUGUGGAAAGGAGGGGCUUGGUGCACGGGGUUGUCGGCAGUCAGUGCCAAUUCGGGAUUCCAGGAUUUGUUAUCAGUGUCGGCAGGUUGGACAUUUGAGGGUCAAAUGUCCACAGCUUUUGCAGGAUCGGUGCAGGCUCUAGCACCGGCCACCUUGAGGAGUUCAGGAGGAGGACAGGAUGGAGUAGAGCCCAAGGGCUCAGGGUUGUGCUUAUCGGCUUGCGGCAGAGGGAGACGGAGCAGUGCCGGAGGCAGCUGCGGGUAUGAUGCUGUCUUGAUGUCUUGAUUAGCUUGCGUUGUUUGUGGCGUAUUGUUUGUGCUGGUAGUGUGGAUUUCGAUGCGGUAUUCGUUGUUUCGCGGGGUUGGCAUGAUUAUGGAUUAGUGCUUCAGGUUUUGCUUCGGCAUUCGUUGUUCCCUGAUGGUUGGGUAUGGUUAUAGUCUGGUGUUUUAGUGCCGAUAGCUUUGUGCGGUUUUCGAUGUGGUAUCCAUCCUUUGGCAGAUUGCGGGUUUUGGUUACGGAUUAUUGUUGAGAAUUUCGUUGGUUAUCGUUGGUGGGGGUUGUUAGUGGAGAUGCGGCACUGGGUUGAAUGAUGGGUAGCAUCUGCAGUUGUGGAGUGGAUAAUUGAAAGAUCGGAUUCUUUUGAGCGGAUUGAUCAGGGAGGAGAGGUGUUUUGCUGAGGGUUGCUUACGCUUGUGGGAAGCAGUCAGUGGGUAAAUGUUCUCUUUGUGCAGGAUGGUUCUGAAAGGUCGUUAAUGACGAUCGGUGGCAGUUAGUCAGUGCUUUAGUGGGGGAGAAUUGUAAAAUUCUCCGGGAGAUCGAUGAGUAUGUAAGGGUGCUUAGCUGUUGGGAUUCAGCAGUGUUUGUCAGCGCAAAGUAUAGGCCGACGAGAGCGAGUGUUGGGUAUGCGGGGCGAGAUACAGACCUAGGGCAUUUGAUUGUGGAGGC
rnacentral:lncRNA from 1 species